UUUCCAGUAGACUCGUGGCUGCAAGCGCGUGCCUGUGUCGGUGUGCUAUUGUUCUCCGUCAAAAAGUUUGCUGUUGUACCAAUAACUUACUGCAGCCUCCUCCAUCCAUCUGCUGGUUGAUGUAGCCUACUCUGGGCAAAUUCAAUGUCCUCUCUUAAAAUCUUCCAAGUAACAUAAUUGGAAGUUACCACUGCUGUCCCUCGACAUUGUGGGAGGCUUACUGGCUUUGGCGUCUCUGAAGACAGGAGAUAAUGCGCGAGAGAAAAUGAGGCAGCCGUGUGUCAGGACGCAACAGAGGCGCAUUAACCUCUGCAAGUCACAGGCGCAGC